rnacentral:rRNA from 1 species
GGGCUCGCAGGCGGUUUUUUAAGUUUGAAUGUGAAAGCCCCCGGCUUCAACCGGGGAGGGUCAUUUGGAAACUGGGGAACUUUGAGUGCAGAAGAGGAGAGUGGAAUUUCCACGUGUAGCGGUGAAAUUGCGUAGAGAUGUGGAGGAACACCAGUGGCGAAGGCGACUCUCUGGUCUGUAACUGACGCUGAGGAGCGAAAGCGUGGGGAGCGAACAGGAUUAGAUACCCUGGUAGUCCACGCCGUAAACGAUGAGUGCUAAGUGUUAGGGGGUUUCCGCCCCUUAGUGCUGCAGCUAACGCAUUAAGCACUCCGCCUGGGGAGUACGGUCGCAAGACUGAAACUCAAAGGAAUUGACGGGGGCCCGCACAAGCGGUGGAGCAUGUGGUUUAAUUCGAAGCAACGCGAAGAACCUUACCAGGUCUUGACAUCCUCUGACAAUCCUAGAGAUAGGACGUCCCCUUCGGGGGCAGAGUGACAGGUGGUGCAUGGUUGUCGUCAGCUCGUGUCGUGAGAUGUUGGGUUAAGUCCCGCAACGAGCGCAACCCUUGAUCUUAGUUGCCAGCAUUCAGUUGGGCACUCUAAGGUGACUGCCGGUGACAAACCGGAGGAAGGUGGGGAUGACGUCAAAUCAUCAUGCCCCUUAUGACCUGGGCUACACACGUGCUACAAUGGACAGAACAAAGGGCAGCGAAACCGCGAGGUUAAGCCAAUCCCACAAAUCUGUUCUCAGUUCGGAUCGCAGUCUGCAACUCGACUGCGUGAAGCUGGAAUCGCUAGUAAUCGCGGAUCA